UGUUAUGGCUAUAAGCACCUAACGUUAAGUUACCCGUUAUAUGCUGGCCCAAGAAUGAUGAGAUAUGUAUAGAAGGCCAUUCAAGUCAAAUAUAUGUAGCUUUUGCAAUGUUCAGUCAAAGAUAUGGUGUGCCCAAAUUUACUAUCAAUUAAGGAAUAUAAUAACUGCAUUUUAAAAUUAUGUUUUGUUCAUCUGCGUAGAAAUGCAAAAAUGAUAUUCAUAAGCUGUUAUAGUGACCAAGAAAAACUGAAUGAAAGAAUUUAAAUAACAAGCAAGAAAUUAAACCAGGGUAAGUUGCAGAAAAAUAAAGAAUGUCGGUUUCUACAUGAUUAUCAAAUUGCUAAUAAGUACCCAUUCAGAGUAAUUAAUUAUCUAUUUCUUGUUUUCAGUAGAUAAGUAUUUUGCCGUCACCAAUACAUGUAUAACCUAGCUGGGAUCCCCUUUAAUGCUUCCCUGGUUCGUUUUGCCACACCCAUUCUUUGUAACUUCGGUUUGUGUUUUCACACUUUUUGCAUGCCUACUGUGUAAUAAAGAUUGAUCUAAAGCAUAUAUUUAUUGAUCACAUAAGUCGAAGAAAAAUUUUUGAUGUUACCGGUACGAAGGAGAAUAGAGUUUAUAUUUGUACAGUUCGAUGCAGAUUUAAAAUUAUGUGCAUGGUUAUGGAGGAAUAUUUGUGAUUAAAUGUGAAGGAUUUAUAUUUUAUUUUGAAUGCCUAUAUGAGUGUGUGAUUAUAAGCAUAUCUAAUUGUAUACUUAGUCUAAUAAAUAUAUAUAAUAU
rnacentral:misc_RNA from 1 species